UACGGGGGGCAAGCGUUGUUCGGAAUUACUGGGCGUAAAGCGCGCGUAGGCGGCUCUUCAAGUCGAGUGUGAAAGCUCCAGGCUUAACCUGGGAAUUGCGCUCGAUACUGUUGAGCUAGAGUGGCGGAAGGGGCAACUGGAAUUCUUGGUGUAGCGGUGAAAUGCGUAGAUAUCUGGAGGAACACCGGUGGCGAAGGCGGCAUCCUGGACCGACACUGACGCUGAUGAGCGAAA
rnacentral:rRNA from 1 species